GACGAACCGUGCGAACGUUAAUCGGAUUCAUUGGGCUUAAAGGGCGCGUAGGCGGCGGCGUAAGUUCGUGGUGAAAUCCCAUCGGCUCAACCGUGGAAUUGCUUCGAAUACUGCGUCGCUCGAGGGAGAUAGGGGACCGCAGAACUGCCGGUGGAGCGGUGAAAUGUGUUGAUAUCGGCGGGAAUGCCAGUGCCGAAAGGGGCGGUCUGGACCUCUUCUGACGCUGAGGCGCGAAAGCCAGGGGAGCAAACGGG
rnacentral:rRNA from 1 species